UUAAUUGAAGAGUUUGAUCAUGGCUCAGAUUGAACGCUGGCGGCAGGCCUAACACAUGCAAGUCGAGCGGCAGCACAGAGGAACUUGUUCCUUGGGUGGCGAGCGGCGGACGGGUGAGUAAUGCCUGGGAAAUUGCCCGGUAGAGGGGGAUAACCAUUGGAAACGAUGGCUAAUACCGCAUAACCUCGUAAGAGCAAAGCAGGGGACCUUCGGGCCUUGCGCUACCGGAUAUGCCCAGGUGGGAUUAGCUAGUUGGUGAGGUAAGGGCUCACCAAGGCGACGAUCCCUAGCUGGUCUGAGAGGAUGAUCAGCCACACUGGAACUGAGACACGGUCCAGACUCCUACGGGAGGCAGCAGUGGGGAAUAUUGCACAAUGGGCGCAAGCCUGAUGCAGCCAUGCCGCGUGUAUGAAGAAGGCCUUCGGGUUGUAAAGUACUUUCAGUAGGGAGGAAGGUGGUUAAG
rnacentral:rRNA from 2 species